rnacentral:lncRNA from 1 species
GGGAAUACAGCGAGGCUUGUGGCGUAUGGAUUAUUAUAUGCAAUGUAGUAUGAUGAUGAUGUAUUCAUUAGAACCUAUAGUCUAAGACAGAGAGAUGGAAUCUGCUUUAUUUUCAUUUCACAGUGGUUCAUGUCUCUUUCACCGAAAUCGCUGCAAUCAAACACAAACUACAUAUUUAAUUGGUAUUCUCAGAAAACUUUGACCCUCGUAUCUGUCUGGAAGCAAAAAAGAAUGGAGUUACCAUCAUAAACCCUGCCAGGUUCUUUGUAUGUUUAAAGCUAUGUAAUAUAAAUUGUUGUAAAGAGAAUAGAAAACCAACCUCUCUCACUCAACCCUUAAAGAAAGUUUCUGAGUUGGGUCCCACUCUCCAAUGUCUCCGAAGCUUGGCUUAGCUCACGAAUUCAAAUGAGUUGGUAUUCUUAUUUUGUUCUUUCUGCACUACCUCUC